UAAAUUAACAAAUAAGCAAAGUCAUAAUAUUUGCAUAUUUUCUUGGAGUUUAAGAGAUUUAUUCAAGGGGAAAGCAUGUGUGAAUAAGCCACAAAAUGUAUCCCAAAGAUAUACUGUGCCACGAAUGCGGUGUUUAUAGAUGACCACAAAAAUCUGCUUAGUCUCAUCGCAUCGAAAUGGCCAAAAGCAAUAGAUAAAGUGCCUCAUUUCACGUAUAUCCAAAACAGAUUCGCCAGAUUGAGGGGCGGAACCCACUAGAGUGAUCUCUGAACGGAAAGCCGCCUAUAAACAAGUUCCCAGCGAAGGCCAAACAUUCGACGCAAAAGAUUCGGACAGGCGGACGGACACACCCAAUAGACAGACAGUAAAUCGAGUACUAAACAAGGCUGAUGGUACCGAGAUGUGCUAUAAAAGUUAUCCAAUUCCGAUUCCUAAUGGAAACUACUUUCUAAUGUCCAAAGGGCUCUUUCGCUUUCAGGCGAAUUUUAGGCAAAUUAAAUUGUAAACAAGGCGUCAAUAAUUUGAGUCAAUUAAAGGCUAAUUUGAUUCAAUUUGUCUUAAUCCCUCACCAAGUACAGCCCCCAUCCACCCACUCACACAACCACCCACUAGUCCGUCCCCCAUUUAUCUGCGUUCUGGAAAAACAAAUGCCUGUUUACGCAAGGAAGCCCGUGAAGGAAAAACCCAAAAGAAAAACGGAAAAUUACAAGCUGCGAGAAACAAAUGCAAAACGCAAUUAAAAGAGUGUGAAAAAUAAAUUGUGGCGCAAAUCCGAAAUGAAAUAAAAAUCAAGCGGCACUAAACACAAGCAAACCGCAAAAUGGACUUUAAAUUAAUUAAAUUUCCUGCUGGCCCGAGCAGUCGCCAGGGGCAAUAUUGCGAGAGGCGAGUGUCUGUAAAGUGGUGCAAGCCCCAGGCGAUAUUGCGAGAGCAAGAGAGCGACGAAUGGACAGCUGAAUCACAAUCAGAGCAUGCUUCUGAAGAAGGUCUAUUUGUGUAAGGUUCGGCCUAAGCAAAUGCAGGCAAGGCAGACGAUUGAGCAGAGCAGACAGAAAAAAACUGGGAGAGGUACAUAAAAAAAGUUCAACGUAGUCGACUUUCGAAUGCCCUUCGUAACGAAUAAAGUUCUGGGAAACACUAGGGUUCCAAUAGAUGUGGAAAUUCACACUACACUCAUGCGAUUUCUACAAAAAUAUCUGUGUACGUGAGUGGAAAACAUAAACGAAAAGCUCAACAUAGAUGCGUAUCUUACAUAAAAAAGCUAGCAGACAGGGGCCACCAUAAAAACCACAAAAAUAUAUAUUUCUCAAUUUUAU